CGCAUCUGUGCAUGCAGCAUAUCAAUAAGCGGAGGAAAAGAAACUAACAAGGAUUCCCCUAGUAACGGCGAGUGAAGCGGGAAGAGCUCAAAUUUGAAAUCUUAAAGGGUUUCCCUUUACAAAUUGUAGUUUAAAGAAGUGUUUUCUGUUGAGGUUUUGGUAAAAGUUCUUUGGAAUAGGACAUCAUAGAGGGUGAGAAUCCCGUAUUUGACCUUUACUUUCAACUUUGUGAUACACUUUCAAAGAGUCGGAUUGUUUGGGAAUGCAGUCCAAAAUGGGUGGUAAAUUUCAUCUAAAGCUAAAUAUUGGCGAGAGACCGAUAGCGAACAAGUACCGUGAGGGAAAGAUGAAAAGAACUUUGAAAAGAGAGUUAAACAGUACGUGAAAUUGUCAAAAGGGAAGCGUUUGACACCAGUGUUGUUUUUCUGAAAAUCAAUUAAAGAACUGUUUAUGCUAAGCUUGUUUAGACUUUAUCAGCUAACUGUUUAGUUUUGAGCUUUUCUUUAAUGCACUUUUCAGUUAACAAGUCAACAUCAAUUUCUUUUGCUGUAAAAAAGCUUGAGGAAGGUGGCUUGAGAUUCGUCUUAAGUGUUUAUAGCCUCUUGCCUAUGCAGUCGGAGAGAUUGAGGUCUGCAGCGUAGAUCCUUCGGGGCUAAAUGCAUUUGUGCUAAGUUAUAGCAUUUUAUAGACAACUUGUUGACUAUGAUUUGUCUUGUAGCUUACUCGCUUAUGUUAUUUUACCUACGCUUAGGAUGUUGAGUCAUCACACAUCUCU
rnacentral:rRNA from 1 species